CGGACGAGUGAGUAAUGUCUGGGAAACUGCCCGAUGGAGGGGGAUAACUACUGGAAACGGUAGCUAAUACCGCAUAACGUCGCAAGACCAAAGAGGGGGACCUUAGGGCCUCUUGCCAUCGGAUGUGCCCAGAUGGGAUUAGCUAGUAGGUGGGGUAAUGGCUCACCUAGGCGACGAUCCCUAGCUGGUCUGAGAGGAUGACCAGCCACACUGGAACUGAGACACGGUCCAG
rnacentral:rRNA from 1 species